AGGUAGGAGAUGAAAAGAGGAGAAGAGUAGAUGAGGGGAAAAGAAGAGAGAAGCAGAAGAGGGAAGGAGAUGUGCAACCGAAUGUAGGAGAGAGAAGAUUCCUAUCCCCUAUUUGAUUUACUAACAUGAAGUAAGAAUUACAAACACCUCCCUAGGCAGGUAAAAGG